UCCUACGGGAGGCAGCAGUGGGGAAUUUUGGACAAUGGGCGCAAGCCUGAUCCAGCCAUGCCGCGUGCGGGAAGAAGGCCUUCGGGUUGUAAACCGCUUUUGUCAGGGAAGAAAAGGUUCUGGUUAAUACCUGGGACUCAUGACGGUACCUGAAGAAUAAGCACCGGCUAACUACGUGCCAGCAGCCGCGGUAAUACGUAGGGUGCAAGCGUUAAUCGGAAUUACUGGGCGUAAAGCGUGCGCAGGCGGUUAUGCAAGACAGAGGUGAAAUCCCCGGGCUCAACCUGGGAACUGCCUUUGUGACUGCAUGGCUAGAGUACGGUAGAGGGGGAUGGAAUUCCGCGUGUAGCAGUGAAAUGCGUAGAUAUGCGGAGGAACACCGAUGGCGAAGGCAAUCCCCUGGACCUGUACUGACGCUCAUGCACGAAAGCGUGGGGAGCAAACAGGAUUAGAUACCCUGGUAGUCCACGCCCUAAACGAUGUCAACUGGUUGUUGGGAGGGUUUCUUCUCAGUAACGUAGCUAACGCGUGAAGUUGACCGCCUGGGGAGUACGGCCGCAAGGUUGAAA
rnacentral:rRNA from 1 species